rnacentral:rRNA from 1 species
AAUGAACGCUGGCGGCAUGCCUAACACAUGCAAGUCGAACGAGACCUUCGGGUCUAGUGGCGCACGGGUGCGUAACGCGUGGGAAUCUGCCCUUGGGUUCGGAAUAACAGUUAGAAAUGACUGCUAAUACCGAAUGAUGUCGUAAGACCAAAGAUUUAUCGCCCAGGGAUGAGCCCGCGUAAGAUUAGGUAGUUGGUGUGGUAAAGGCGCACCAAGCCGACGAUUCUAGCUGGUCUGAGAGGAUGAUCAGCCACACUGGGACUGAGACACGGCCCAGACUCCUACGGGAGGCAGCAGUGGGGAAUAUUGGACAAUGGGCGAAAGCCUGAUCCAGCAAUGCCGCGUGAGUGAUGAA